AUUCUGCCCAUGCGGGGAAGGAUGAGAAGCUUCGACUAAGGUUCGACUCGAGCGCCAGCGAGAGAGCAUUGCCGCAGGCAACGACCCGUAGGGCGAAGCGCGCAGCGCUGAGUAAUCCUUCCCCCACCAUCA
rnacentral:sRNA from 1 species